UAAAGUGGUCCACUUUAUCCCUCAACCAAACAAAACCGAUAAACCCUCGCUCGCCUUCUCGGACUCCAUGAUCAUCGAGCUCGUCCCCACGGCGGCGGCGGCGGAGGAAUCGCCAUUCCUCGGCGUUCGUGAUCUCGAUUCCCUCGGCAUCGACAUUAACGACACACGCACAGCGGAGUCCGAGUUCAGCGACGCUGUGCUCGGCGGCUCCGUCGCCGCGGCGGAAUCGCCGAACCCCGAUUCCUCCCCCGGUCUCGCGUCGGACGAUGGUGGGGAUCUGAAGCACGCCGACGCCGACGCCGGCGCCGGCGCCGGCGGCGAGCGCAACACGCCGGAGAAUUUGACCUCCGAGUUGGAAUCGAUCCAUGAAGCCGACUCCGGUUCCGGCACAGAAGAACAUGUCGACCAAGAGGAGGAGGAAGAGGAGGAGGAGGAGGAGGAAGCUCACAACCUUACUGCGGCGCUCGGCAUUAGCAUGGAGGAAAUUGUCUCACGCUUAGAAUGGCUUCAAAGAGUUGAUCCCGACGAAUUCAACGCGCUGGUUCGCGACAUCACCAACAUGUUCGAUCUUCUAGGGUUCGCGCUCAAUCCGUCGCAAGUUCGAGAAUUGAACGCCGAUAGCUCUGCGUCUGCGUCUCGAAGAGUCCGGUCGCUGAUCCUCUGCGUAAAUCGACUCAUCUGCAUCAUUUCUGCCACUCGCAUCCGUCAGGGCAGCCUCAGAAGAGGAAGCCAUCUUGCGGCGUCUAGAUUGGCCGUCGAGAGCCUCCCGUCGGUCCUCGUCACUGCCGAGGACUUCGGGGCCGACGGCAUGCUUUGCGUGGUUUGCGGCGAUGAGAUAUCGAUCGGGGACUGGGCCACGCCGUUGCCGUGUUCUCAUUACUACCACGGGGACUGCAUCGUGCCGUGGUUACGGAUUCGAAACACUUGCCCGCUGUGCCGCCGCGAGCUGCCCGCGGAAGAGAAUCCUGAGUAGUGCUUCGAAAGAUCGUCGGCCGGAAAGGUUUGAGCUUCUCUUUGUAGCAUCGUCACAAGCUUCAUAUCAACACUUGACGCUUUUUAGGGCUCGGAAUUUCAUUUCAGCUUCUGAUGCAGUAGAAUCUCCAGAUAGUUCAGUUUCCCUAAUAUCUAGUAAAGAUGGUUGCAACUGAAAAAGAAUAAGAAGCAGAGCCAGCCAAAGAAGCAGAAGCGCGUGUGAGAAUUUGAGACCCAAAAGCAGUUCGAAGCUGUUGUGAGGGACUUCAAUUAACACUCAUAACAGUAAAUGGCAUACAUGAUGAGCAGGCACUGUCAAUUCGGGCAUCGCUGAAGCUCUUUCAGAUUUUUGUGGAGUCGCCGCUGUUGUUGGAGAUCUAGUACUCUGAUGUGCCUGAGCUGUUGUUGGUGAAGAAGCAUUGUUGCGCUUCGGCCUGAGUCGGAAAAUCACAUUAAUCUGACACAGGACAACCAACUUGAAAUCUUCAGAAGUUGGUGGGGUUCGAGCCGGGUCGAGUCGCAUCUAUUUCUCGGUAACAAGUAGUUCUUAUUUAUACUCGAACCAAACGUAGUCAUACGAGUAUAAAACAAUAUAGGGAAUUUCUUUUAUUUUUAUUAUUUAUUUAUUUUAUUUAUGGACAAAGAUGUGUUUCCAAAGUGUUCAAAUUUUAAAGGAGGAUUACAUACUGGUAUAUUUUUUUAAAAGUUAAAAAAUAAUUUAUAUUUUUUUUUCAAAUUUUAAAUAAAUUUGCAAUGCCUCUCUAAAAUAUUUUAUACCUUCCAAAAAUAUUCUUUCUGUUAAAUUUCCUUCACUUUCCCCUCUCAUUUCUCUUCGUUUUUUUUUAUUUUUCUUAAUCUAGAAAAUCACUUUUUUUUUUUUUCAUAGUCUUAGUACUCCAUGUAUGAUACAACUUUUCUAAUAGCGAAGAAAUUAAAUUUUUACGAAUAAUUCUCUUUUCAACACAGAAUAAUUUGAUUUGAAAUUUGAUGGGAAGGACAUUACUAAUUUUGUAGGAUAUCCUUUUCUCCAUUGGAUUUUUUUUUUGUUUUUUUUUUUUUUUUUUUUUUUUUUU